CAUGCCAUCACUUUCAAAUAGUGGCUAUCACAUUCACGCCCCAGUAAUAUUUAUCCAGCUUUAAAUUAGGGUUAAACAUAACCGAUAAAAAAAGAACCUAUAUCUUACGCAAACAAUUACCAACAUUACCAAAUAAAUAUAUAUAUAUAUAUAUAAUCACCCAAUGAAUAGAACAGGAAGCAAUUCUGUUCCAUCUUCUAUGCUGAUUUGCAUCCUUAAAAAAUAGGGGGUGGGGAGAAGAAGCAAUCACUAAACCUUGGAAAAGCAACAACCCACAAAAGAAUUACUGAAAAACACCGCAGUCGUGUGAACAUUACGACGAGGAAAAAAUCAUUUCUUCGCAUGCUUUCUAAUGAUUACAGUGUGAUUGCAAUAUCAUUUUUAAAAUAUACUCAAUCACUUAGUCUUUCUAAUGCUUGCAAUGUGUAAUUGCAAUAUUAUUUUUAAAAUAUACCCAAUCACUUACUAUGGGUAGCACUAACAAAAAAGAUACAAAUGCACAACACAAUAAUAUAAAUUUAAUAAAUUUUCAAACCAAAAACACUUUUAAAAAAACACAAAUAAAGUACAAAUGCACUCCUAAACACCCUAAAUAAUGAAAUAUAGGAAUGGAUAUUCCCAUGAAUCUUUUGAAUGAGGUUCUAUCAGAAUACGAAUAUAGCUGAUAAAUGUAGAACUCAUCAGCAUCACUUCAUUCAAUUAUUUGUCACUGAAGCCAAAUUUUCUUUGUCACAGGCCCUAGAAACGUUUAGACCUCUCAUUUUCUAUCAUAUGUGCUAGUAGAAUUUCCAAAACGCGGGUUUGAUUAUUCUAUGUCAAUAUGUCAUUUAAAUAUGGUUCUCCGUUUCUCUCACAUGGAAAAGGACACAAUGAAGCUUCCAUGUUUCAAAGAAAGAAAGAAAUUUCUACCCUAAAUGUAAACGCUAUUAAGAUAGGAUAUCGUGAAGAGAAAGAAAAGAUAAAAGAAUGAUGACAAUUGAUAUUGAGAGGUAGUGUUGAAAUUCAAUAUCAACUAGGAUUUAAAUUAUUAGGAAUUAGAGUUUGUAAGAUUUUUAAUAUUAGUUAAAAAAAGGAAUCAUAGUUAACAUAGAUAUCCUUGAUGAAAAAGAAUUUAUAAUAGAUUAGUUUAUUAAAAUCUUUGUUUAAUUAGAAUGAUCUGCUUAGAUCUGCUUCUCUCUCUUUCUUCUUCGGGUAGCAGAUCUGUUGUGGAGUGUUGGGUGGCUCGCGGGGCGACGCGUGCGGUCGGUUACCCGCUGGAUCGGGUAGAUCGCCGACCCUUCUUUCCUCUUCGGCUGGCGGUGGUCAUCCGUGGCCGCUGAAGCCACGGUGGAGACGGGCGUGGCUCUUCGAUGGCAAAGGUGCAGGGGCGUGGCUCCACUAGAGAAGGGAGCAGCUGAGAGGGGAAGAUGACAGGGAUCGGGUGCCUGCUUGGCCUUCGAAGAGGACGGCUGGUUCGGGUGGCCGGUGGUGGAGGCGCCUGUGUUGUCGGCUGAGAGAGUAGAGGGACGGUGGGUGUGGCUGUGGCCGGGUCUGUCCGUUGACCCGGAGAGAGAGGCCGAUGGGUCGGUUGAGAGAGGAGAGAAGUCUGGUGAGGGGGAGCUGCUGGCUGGGUAUAUGGGGAAGAUGAUAGCCGGGGGAGAGGAAGAAGAGAAAAAAAUCAGACCAGCAGGCUGGGGGGCGGCUAGCUGCCUGUGGUUGGAGAAAAAGGGAAAAAAUCUGAUCCAGGGGGUGGCGGCUCCAGGUUCUGGUGAGGGAGAAGAAAAGGAUAAGUUUUUUAGGGUUUUCUCUUUUUUGUGUUCCCUCUCCCUAAUUGCAAAAUCGC
rnacentral:lncRNA from 1 species